UGGGGAAUCUUCCGCAAUGGACGAAAGUCUGACGGAGCAACGCCGCGUGAGUGAUGACGGCCUUCGGGUUGUAAAGCUCUGUUAAUCGGGACGAAAGGCCUUCUUGCGAAUAGUUAGAAGGAUUGACGGUACCGGAAUAGAAAGCCACGGCUAACUACGUGCCAGCAGCCGCGGUAAUACGUAGGUGGCAAGCGUUGUCCGGAAUUAUUGGGCGUAAAGCGCGCGCAGGCGGAUUGGUCAGUCUGUCUUAAAAGUUCGGGGCUUAACCCCGUGAUGGGAUGGAAACUGCUGAUCUAGAGUAUCGGAGAGGAAAGUGGAAUUCCUAGUGUAGCGGUGAAAUGCGUAGAUAUUAGGAAGAACACCAGUGGCGAAGGCGACUUUCUGGACGAAAACUGACGCUGAGGCGCGAAAGCCAGGGGAGCGAACGGGAUUAGAUACCCCGGUAGUCCUGGCCGUAAACGAUGGGUACUAGGUGUAGGAGGUAUCGACCCCUUCUGUGCCGGAGUUAACGCAAUAAGUACCCCGCCUGGGGAGUACGACCGCAAGGUUG
rnacentral:rRNA from 1 species